AAUGGCAGGAGCAGACCCCGGGAGGACCUGAAUGCCAAGAUGGAAUUUUACAGGCAGAGGUUUCGUGAUGAUGGUGGCUGCAAGCAACACCCGUCUCCGCCUGAUGGCCCCACUCUGCCAACGGUGCCCGCCUCCUUCAUGACGGAGCUGGAGAUCGCCUU